rnacentral:rRNA from 1 species
UCCGUAGGUGGAUUAAUAAGUCAGAGGUGAAAUCCUGCAGCUUAACUGUAGAACUGCCUUUGAUACUGUUAAUCUUGAGUCAUUAUGAAGUGGUUAGAAUGUGUAGUGUAGCGGUGAAAUGCAUAGAUAUUACACAGAAUACCGAUUGCGAAGGCAGAUCACUAAUAAUGUACUGACACUGAGGGACGAAAGCAUGGGGAGCGAACAGGAUUAGAUACCCUGGUAGUCC